CCACGCACGCUGACGGCUUGACUGUUUGUCACUGACUGUCAGCUGACUGUUUUGAAGUGUUCAAAGCCGUUAUUUCAAAACCUUAUACUUUUUCCGGCUUGUUUCCACUAAAGAUCAAGAAAAAUAGUACCUGUACGACAACUUCUUGAAUAAAUGAACCACUGUUGAGCCUAACGAAAUAUGUUGAUUUCUUAUUGACAUUAAUGCAAAUCAGAAUAGAGGGCGCUUCAAAAUUUGCGAUAUCUACUUUCGGGGAUACACAGGAUUUACAUUUGAGAAGCGCUUAUCAAUUGGGCGUUUACUUUAGAAAAUACUAACAGGGGAAGAUCUAAUUUCACCUUUCUAUUAUUCAUCAGUUGAAAACACCUCAACAGUCGGUAAAAUAUUUGGUUUAUAUGCUCUAAAACAAUUUAAACAUGUUUUUACUGCACGGAACAUAACCUGUUGGACAAUUUGCAAAAGAGCUCAGAAUCAGAACCGAGGACAGAUGUAAAGAAAUCGAUGAUUAAUUCAAUACGGAGAGAUAAGUUUGGCCUAGACCAUCUAACAGGUGCAAGUAGGGAUAAUGAGCGCACGACUGAAACAGUUCGAUGCAAAUACCGAAGAUACUUUUUAAAACAUAUUACCUUGAAGAAGAAAUCGAAGAACAACAGAAUGCAGUAGCCGCCAGCUAUUAGUAGAAGAAUAUAUAAAAUAUCCAUUGAAGUAGAUAUGAACAUUCAGUUCAUUUCCUAUUCAGGAUUAAAGGCUAGCAAACAACACCAAUUUAUUCAAUAAAUCUGAGAAUAGCAAGAAAA